rnacentral:rRNA from 1 species
UACGUAGGGGGCAAGCGUUGUCCGGAAUCAUUGGGCGUAAAGCGCGUGUAGGCGGCCUUGUAAGUCCGUUCUGAAAGUCCAGGGCUCAACCCUGGGAUGCCGGUGGAUACUGUCGGGCUCGAGUCCGGAAGAGGCGAGUGGAAUUCCUGGUGUAGCGGUGAAAUGCGCAGAUAUCAGGAGGAACACCAAUGGCGAAGGCAGCUCGCUGGGACGUGACUGACGCUGAGACGCGAAAGCGUGGGGAGCAAACAGG